rnacentral:lncRNA from 1 species
CCAUGAGCAUUUUCCUGACAUGAAAUUUGUAUUGAUAUUUCUGUCCUCAUCACCAUAGACAAUUUUUGGAACUCUUCUGGCAACUAAUCAAUAUGUGCUGAAUGUAUUAGUGCUACAAGUCCUGCAGUCCCUCAGGUAGUAAAAUGUUAAGAGGCUCUUAAGAGGCUCAGUCCAAUGAUGAUCAGAAUUUUAGACUAAUAUUAAUAUUUAACAAUAUGUACUUUU